UCUCACACAGUGUCACACACUCUUUCUCACACACUGUCACACACUCUCUCACGGCUGAAAUCACAGCUGUCCGUUGGUCUAUCCAAACACAGGAACAGGGACAGGAGCAGAGUGACUGGGCUUUAGCCUGGCGGAUGGGGAAGUUUCCCUCACUGGGCAGUGAACAGACUGAGGACACACUGGGACUACUAUACUGGACUACUGUACCACUACCACCCUCAUGAGGAAUGAAGUGACAGGAGAGAACAGACAGCAGGACAGAGGUUGGUUCCACUUCACACUGCCGUCUGUACCCACAGCCUGUAGCUGAGGCUAGUAGGUCACUGACAUGAGAAGACAGAGAGCAGUAUCUCACUCGUUCAGACAGAUACUGCUGCUGUAGGUAUAUCUAUAUGAUAUGGGUAACAGGCUAUCCCAUGAAGACAUCUCCCCUGCUGAGCUGGAUGCACUAUGGAGGGAACCACCGUACACGCUAGCGGGAACCAAUGGGCACUUCACAGGAAAUGAUGUUAGGAAUCGAGGUAGAGUACAGUAAAAAAGCCUUCGAUGACCUUCACAAAACAUCCAGCUGAUUCUGUCGCAAUUAUGUUCCUCCUUCCCAUGUCCUGCAUGAGUUACAUUGCCCAGACUAAUUUGGAGUUUGAAUGUUUCUGGAUUUGUACUGUAGCAAACAAUGAAACAUUGUAUUACGAUGUAGCCUAAACAACAUAACAGUGGUGAUUUAAGCGGGAGGAUUCUUUCAGGCUGUUUGGGAGGAUUCUUUCAGGCUGUUUGGGAGGAUUCUUUCAGGCUGUUUGGGAGGAUUCUUUCAGGCUGUUUGGGAGGAUUAUUUCAGGCUGUUUGGGAGGAUUCUUUCAGGCUGUUGUGUCAUGCCACUGGUCACCGGUCAGUCCCAGACUGAGGAUGUGUUUGGGACAAUGGGACAACAACAUGGGGAAGCCAGCCCAGCCGCUCAUAAAGCCUUUGUGUGUGUGUGUUUCUGUGUGUGUGUGUGUGUGUGUGUGUGUGUGUGUGUGUGUGUGUGUGUGUGUGUGUGUGUGUGUGUGUGUGUGUGUGUGUGUGUGUGUGUGUGUGUGUGUGUGUGUGUCUGUGUGUGUCUGUGUGUGUGUGUGUUAGCACGUGUGUGUGAAGCCGUCACCAGUCACAAAGCCCUGUCAGGAGAACCAGAGCAGGUCAUUAUAUUGUAACAGACCAUCUGGGAGCUGCAGUACGGUGAUAGAUGUGUGGGCUAUGAUAGACUCUUGAUGUUCUGGAGGAAAAAACUCAUCACUAUUGAAAACCUCAUCAGCUGGAUCACAGAAUACACUGUACACCAGCAGAUAUGCAACUUUAGUGUGAAUGUUCUCUCAUACAGUAACAUAGACAAUCCAACAAUUCUGUCACUUUGUCUCGUUACCUUGACUGGUUUGCAUUCCGGAAGGAUAGACAAUGAAGCAAUGUGGACACUAAAUGAUGGUAAAUGCUGGUGUUGUUUUGUAGCCAUGUCCACUAUUUGGUCUCCAUCCCCCUUCAUAGUUGUCACAUAACAAAGUUGAUGGAUGAUCUUGAACUUGCUUACAGAGCACAUGUUGCUGAAACAAAAGUUUAUUUUUAAAAUCAACCCCCAAUUAACUGUAUCAUCCC